rnacentral:rRNA from 1 species
CCUACGGGAGGCAGCAGUAGGGAAUCUUGCACAAUGGGCGAAAGCCUGAUGGAGCAAUGCCGCGUGGGUGAAGAAGGUCUUCGGAUCGUAAAACCCUGUUGUCAGAGAAGAAGGUGCGGGAGAGUAACUGUUCACGGUUCGACGGUAUCUAACCAGAAAGCCACGGCUAACUACGUGCCAGCAGCCGCGGUAAUACGUAGGGGGCAAGCGUUAUCCGGAUUUAUUGGGCGUAAAGGGAACGCAGGCGGUCUUUUAAGUCUGAUGUGAAAGCCCUCGGCUUAACCUGAGUAGUGCAUUGGAAACUGGCAGACUUGAGUGCAGAAGAGGAGAGUGGAACUCCAUGUGUAGCGGUGAAAUGCGUAGAUAUCUGGAAGAAUACCAGUGGCGAAGGCGGCUCUCUGGUCUGUAACUGACGCUGAGGUUCGAAAGCGUGGGUAGCAAACAGGAUUAGAUACCCGUGUAGUC